AGUACGCAGAUCUCAAGAAAAAUGCUCAAGGAAAGUUUGAUCUAAUUACCGAAGUAAUUUUGACAACUGGUAAACGCAAUUGAAAAAGUAGGCGGCAAUAUAGCAAGAUGAUAAAGAAAAAAUGUCAUCAAGCAGUUUUGCGGUUUUUGAUAAUGGCUGCCUUAACCUCGACCAAAUAAUUGUUGCAAACGAAGCGGAGAAGGUGGACUUGGAGAUGCCGUAGCGAAAAAACAAUUCAAAAACGGAGUUUCUACCGAGUGCAUUGCCGACAUUGGUUGAAUUGCAGCUGGGCCAUUGUAAUUCGGGAUGAGGAUUUUGUGAUUCGUCUAGAAGACAUAAGUUUUUCGACGAAACUUUCAAUAUGGAGAGGAAAAAUUCGACCGCCUCAAAUUGAAUUGAGUGAGAUCUCUCCCCACUACGGAACACACGGCUGAACGGUACGGCACGAGACUGAUCUGGCAACUAUCAUCGUAUUGAUUGCUCUCUAUUUCCGAGCUUUGCCCGCUGAAUAAAUUGUUACCGCAUACCGGGGUGUUAUCCGUAUAUUCUGCAUCCCUGCAUCCCAUAUUCUGCAGUAGAGUCUUGCUGAAGUCAAUUCUCUGUAGUUUUUUUCGCUUUCAUCGACCCGUGCGGGAAAUUCGAAACUCAGUUUCGUAAAUUGAAACCUUCGAGAAAGGACAUGACUGACCUAGAGCGUCAUCUUCACCAGUUAAAGAAUGAGCUUUGUCAAGCUGUGCGUCUGGAGAUUUCUAGCAUUCAUGAGAUA